rnacentral:rRNA from 1 species
UGGGGAAUAUUGGACAAUGGGGGCAACCCUGAUCCAGCAAUUCUGUGUGCACGAUGAAGGUUUUCGGAUUGUAAAGUGCUUUCAGCAGGGAAGAAAAAAAUGACGGUACCUGCAGAAGAAGCGACGGCUAAAUACGUGCCAGCAGCCGCGGUAAUACGUAUGUCGCAAGCGUUAUCCGGAAUUAUUGGGCAUAAAGGGCAUCUAGGCGGCCAGAUAAGUCUGGGGUGAAAACUUGCGGCUCAACCGCAAGCCUGCCCUGGAAACUAUGUGGCUAGAGUACUGGAGAGGUGGACGGAACUGCACGAGUAGAGGUGAAAUUCGUAGAUAUGUGCAGGAAUGCCGAUGAUGAAGAUAGUUCACUGGACGGUAACUGGCGCUGAAGUGCGAAAGCUAGGGGAGCAAACAGGAUUAGAUACCCUGGUAGUCCUAGCUGUAAACGAUGAUUACUGGGUGUGGGCAUGAAGAGUGUCCGUGCCGAAGCUAAUGCGAUAAGUAAUCCGCCUGGGGAGUACGGCCGCAAGGCUG